rnacentral:rRNA from 1 species
UACGGAGGGUGCAAGCGUUAAUCGGAAUUACUGGGCGUAAAGCGCGCGUAGGCGGUUUUGCGAGUCGGAUGUGAAAGCCCUGGGCUUAACCUGGGAAUUGCAUUCGAUACUGCAUAACUAGAGUAUGGUAGAGGGAAGUGGAAUUUCCGGUGUAGCGGUGAAAUGCGUAGAUAUCGGAAGGAACAUCAGUGGCGAAGGCGACUUCCUGGGCCAAUACUGACGCUGAGGUGCGAAAGCGUGGGGAGCAAACAGG